GACCCAGUGGCGAAUGGUAUCGCCCCUGCAGCGUGUUCGAGGAUAGAGCUGGGUUGCAAGCCGGGAAUUCUUGGUUCGAAUCCAGGCUGGGUCG